rnacentral:pre_miRNA from 1 species
UUCACCUGGUGAUUUUGUUAAAAUGCAGAUUCUGAUUGAGUAGAGCUAGGGUGGCCUGAGAAUUCUGCAUUUCUGGCAAGCUCCCUGGUGAUGCUGA